AAAACGACUCUCGACAACGGAUAUCUCGGCUCUCGCAUCGAUGAAGAACGUAGCUAAAUGCGAUACUUGGUGUGAAUUGCAGAAUCCCGUGAACCAUCGAGUCUUUGAACGCAAGUUGCGCCCGAAGCCGUCAGGCCGAGGGCACGUCUGCCUGGGCGUCACGC
rnacentral:rRNA from 1 species